AUUGAACGCUGGCGGCAGGCCUAACACAUGCAAGUCGAGCGGAUGAAGGGAGCUUGCUCCUGGAUUCAGCGGCGGACGGGUGAGUAAUGCCUAGGAAUCUGCCUGGUAGUGGGGGAUAACGUCCGGAAACGGGCGCUAAUACCGCAUACGUCCUGAGGGAGAAAGUGGGGGAUCUUCGGACCUCACGCUAUCAGAUGAGCCUAGGUCGGAUUAGCUAGUUGGUGGGGUAAAGGCCUACCAAGGCGACGACCCGUAACUGGUCUGAGAGGAUGAUCAGUCACACUGGAACUGAGACACGGUCCAGACUCCUACGGGAGGCAGCAGUGGGGAAUAUUGGACAAUGGGCGAAAGCCUGAUCCAGCCGUGCCGCGUGUGUGAAGAAGGUCUUCGGAUUGUAAAGCACUUUAAGUUGGGAGGAAGGGCAGUAAGUUAAUACCUUGCUGUUUUGACGUUACCAACAGAAUAAGCACCGGCUAACUUCGUG
rnacentral:rRNA from 1 species